rnacentral:rRNA from 2 species
CUGGCUCAGGAUGAACGCCGGCGGUGUGCCUAAUACAUGCAAGUCGUACGCACUGGCCCAACUGAUUGAUGGUGCUUGCACCUGAUUGACGUUGGAUCACCAGUGAGUGGCGGACGGGUGAGUAACACGUAGGUAACCUGCCCCGGAGCGGGGGAUAACAUUUGGAAACAGAUGCUAAUACCGCAUAACAACAAAAGCCACAUGGCUUUUGUUUGAAAGAUGGCUUUGGCUAUCACUCUGGGAUGGACCUGCGGUGCAUUAGCUAGUUGGUAAGGUAACGGCUUACCAAGGCGAUGAUGCAUAGCCGAGUUGAGAGACUGAUCGGCCACAAUGGAACUGAGACACGGUCCAUACUCCUACGGGAGGCAGCAGUAGGGAAUCUUCCACAAUGGGCGCAAGCCUGAUGGAGCAACACCGCGUGAGUGAAGAAGGGUUUCGGCUCGUAAAGCUCUGUUGUUGGAGAAGAACGUGCGUGAGAGUAACUGUUCACGCAGUGACGGUAUCCAACCAGAAAGUCACGGCUAACUACGUGCCAGCAGCCGCGGUAAUACGUAGGUGGCAAGCGUUAUCCGGAUUUAUUGGGCGUAAAGCGAGCGCAGGCGGUUGCUUAGGUCUGAUGUGAAAGCCUUCGGCUUAACCGAAGAAGUGCAUCGGAAACCGGGCGACUUGAGUGCAGAAGAGGACAGUGGAACUCCAUGUGUAGCGGUGGAAUGCGUAGAUAUAUGGAAGAACACCAGUGGCGAAGGCGGCUGUCUGGUCUGCAACUGACGCUGAGGCUCGAAAGCAUGGGUAGCGAACAGGAUUAGAUACCCUGGUAGUCCAUGCCGUAAACGAUGAGUGCUAGGUGUUGGAGGGUUUCCGCCCUUCAGUGCCGGAGCUAACGCAUUAAGCACUCCGCCUGGGGAGUACGACCGCAAGGUUGAAACUCAAAGGAAUUGACGGGGGCCCGCACAAGCGGUGGAGCAUGUGGUUUAAUUCGAAGCUACGCGAAGAACCUUACCAGGUCUUGACAUCUUGCGCUAACCUUAGAGAUAAGGCGUUCCCUUCGGGGACGCAAUGACAGGUGGUGCAUGGUCGUCGUCAGCUCGUGUCGUGAGAUGUUGGGUUAAGUCCCGCAACGAGCGCAACCCUUGUUACUAGUUGCCAGCAUUAAGUUGGGCACUCUAGUGAGACUGCCGGUGACAAACCGGAGGAAGGUGGGGACGACGUCAGAUCAUCAUGCCCCUUAUGACCUGGGCUACACACGUGCUACAAUGGACGGUACAACGAGUUGCAAGCUCGCGAGAGCAAGCUAAUCUCUUAAAGCCGUUCUCAGUUCGGACUGUAGGCUGCAACUCGCCUACACGAAGUCGGAAUCGCUAGUAAUCGCGGAUCAGCAUGCCGCGGUGAAUACGUUCCCGGGCCUUGUACACACCGCCCGUCACACCAUGGGAGUUUGUAACGCCCAAAGUCGGUGGCCUAACCUUUAUGGAGGGAGCCGCCUAAGGCGGGACAGAUGACUGGGGUGAAGUCGU